rnacentral:rRNA from 1 species
UGGGGAAUAUUGGACAAUGGGGGAAACCCUGAUCCAGCGACGCCGCGUGGGUGAAGAAGGCCUGCGGGUUGUAAAGCCCUUUCGGUGGGGAAGAAAAGCCUCGACCUAAUACGUCGGGGUCUUGACGUAACCCACAGAAGAAGCACCGGCUAACUCUGUGCCAGCAGCCGCGGUAAUACAGAGGGUGCGAGCGUUAAUCGGAAUUACUGGGCGUAAAGCGCACGUAGGCGGCUUUGCAAGUCGGGUGUGAAAUCCCCGGGCUCAACCUGGGAACUGCAUUCGAGACUGCAUUGCUCGAGUAUGGGAGAGGGAAGUGGAAUUUCCGGUGUAGCGGUGAAAUGCGUAGAUAUCGGAAGGAACACCAGUGGCGAAAGCGACUUCCUGGACCAAUACUGACGCUGAGACGCGAAAGCGUGGGGAGCAA